rnacentral:rRNA from 1 species
CGCAAUGGGCGAAAGCCUGACGGAGCGACGCCGCGUGAUUGAUGAAGUCCUUCGGGACGUAAAGAUCUUUUAUGCGUGAAGAAGUUAUUGACAUUAGCGCAUGAAUAAGGGGCUCCUAACUCUGUGCCAGCAGGAGCGGUAAUACAGAGGCCCCAAGCAUUAUCCGGAAUCACUGGGCGUAAAGGGUGUGUAGGCGGCGUUGUUAGUCUUUCGUGAAAGGUCUCUGGCUUAACUAGGGAACCGCGGGAGAAACGGCAAUGCUUCGAGGAUGCGAGAGGUAAAGGGAACUCAAGGUGUAGGGGUGAAAUCCGUUGAUAUCUCGGGGAACACCAAAUGCGAAGGCACUUUACUGGCGCACUCCUGCUGCUUAAACACGAAAGCGU